GACGAACGCUGGCGGCGUGCUUAACACAUGCAAGUCGAACGGAAAGGCCUCUUUCGGGGGGUACUCGAGUGGCGAACGGGUGAGUAACACGUGAGUAACCUGCCCUUGACUUUGGGAUAACUUCAGGAAACUGGGGCUAAUACCGGAUAGGAGCUCCUGCUGCAUGGUGGGGGUUGGAAAGUUUCGGCGGUUGGGGUUGGACUCGCGGCUUAUCAGCUUGUUGGUGGGGUAGUGGCUUACCAAGGCUUUGACGGGUAGCCGGCCUGAGAGGGUGACCGGCCACAUUGGGACUGAGAUACGGCCCAGACUCCUACGGGAGGCAGCAGUGGGGAAUAUUGCACAAUGGGUGGAAGCCUGAUGCAGCAACGCCGUGUGCGGGAUGACGGCCUUCGGGUUGUAAACCGCUUUCGCUCAUGACGAAGCUUUGUGUGACGGUAGUGGGUAAAGAAGCACCGGCUAACUACGUG
rnacentral:rRNA from 1 species